ensembl:lncRNA
UGUAACACCAGUAAAUCUUCCCUGAGGUCAGUCUCUUCUCUGAGGUCAGUCUCUGUCUGUAAUACCAGUAAAUCUUCCCUGAGGUCAGUCUCUGUCUGUAACACCAGUAAAUCUUUCCUGAGGUCAGUCUCUUCCCUGAGGUCAGUCUCUGUAUUUAACACCCUUAUAUCUUCCCUGAGGUCAGUAUCUUCCCUGAGGUCAGUAUCUUCCCUGAGGUCAGUCUCUUCCCUGAGGUCAGUCUCUGUCUGUAACAUCAGUAAAUCUUCCCUGAGGUCAGUCUCUGUAUGUAACACCAGUAAAUCUUCCCUGAGGUCAGUCUCUUCCCUGAGGUCAGUCUCUGUCUGUAAAACCAGAAAUCUUCCCUGAGGUCAGUCUCUUCCCUGAGGUCAGUCUCUUCCCUGAGGUCAGUCUCUGUCUGUAACACCAGUAAAUCUUCCCUGAGGUCAGUCUCUGUAUGUAACACCAGUAAAUCUUCCCUGAGGUCAGUCUCUUCCCUGAGGUCAGUCUCUGUCUGUAACACCAGUAAAUCUUUCCUGAGGUCAGUCUCUUCCCUGAGGUCAGUCUCUGUAUUUAACACCCUUAUAUCUUCCCUGAGGUCAGUCUCUUCCCUGAGGUCAGUCUCUUCCCUGAGGUCAGUCUCUUCCCUGAGGUCAGUCUCUUCCCUGAGGUCAGUCUCUGUA